rnacentral:rRNA from 1 species
UACGUAGGGGGGCUAGCGUUGUCCGGAAUCAUUGGGCGUAAAGCGCGCGUAGGCGGCCAGAUAAGUCCGGUGUGAAAGUCACAGGCUCAACCUGUGAAUGCCGCUGGAAACUGUCUGGCUAGAGUCCGGAAGGGGCGAGUGGAAUUCCUGGUGUAGCGGUGGAAUGCGCAGAUAUCAGGAGGAACACCAAUAGCGAAGGCAGCUCGCUGGGACGGUACUGACGCUAAGGCGCGAAAAGCGUGGGGGAGCGAACAGG